rnacentral:rRNA from 1 species
UACAGAGGGCUCAAGCGUUGUUCGGAUUCAUUGGGCGUAAAGGGUGCGUAGGUGGCGCGCUAAGUCAGGUGUGAAAUUUCGGAGCUUAACUCCGAAACUGCAUUUGAUACUGGCGUGCUUGAGGACUGGAGAGGAGACUGGAAUUCAUGGUGUAGCAGUGAAAUGCGUAGAGAUCAUGAGGAAGACCAGUGGCGAAGGCGGGUCUCUGGACAGUUCCUGACACUGAGGCACGAAGGCCAGGGGAGCAAACGGG